UACGUAGGGCGCAAGCAUUAUCCGGAAUUAUUGGGCGUAAAGAGCUCGUAGGCGGUUUGUCGCGUCUGCCGUGAAAGUCCGGGGCUCAACUCCGGAUCUGCGGUGGGUACGGGCAGACUAGAGUGAUGUAGGGGAGACUGGAAUUCCUGGUGUAGCGGUGAAAUGCGCAGAUAUCAGGAGGAACACCGAUGGCGAAGGCAGGUCUCUGGGCCUUACCUGACGCUGAGGCGCGAAAGCUAGGGGAGCGAACAGG
rnacentral:rRNA from 1 species